UGGAGCGGAAGAUAGGAUUUACACCUAUACCUCAUUCCAGGAAGGAAUGUAUUCUAAGAGUUGAAAUACUCCCGC
rnacentral:tRNA from 1 species